rnacentral:rRNA from 1 species
CAUACCUAUUCGAAGGGAUAGGGUCGGCUCGGCCGGAUUUUACACAAGUGUUGCAUGGCUGUCGUCAGCUCGUGUCGUGAGAUGUUGGGUUAAGUCCCGCAACGAGCGCAACCCUCAUCCUUAGUUACCAUCAGGUUAUGCUGGGGACCUUAAGGAAACUGCCAGUGAUAAACUGGAGGAAGGUGGGGAUGAUGUCAAGUCAUCAUGGCCCUUAUGGAGUGGGCUACACACGUGCUAUAAUGGUGAUUACAAUGGGCUGCAAGGUCGCAAGGCUGAGCUAAUCCUAAAAAAUCAUCUCAGUUCGGAUUGUUCUCUGCAACUCGAGAGCAUGAAGUUGGAAUCGCUAGUAAUCGUGGAUCAGCAUGCCACGGUGAAUACGUUCUCGGGUCUUGUACACACUGCCCGUCACGCCAUGGGAAUUGGUUUCACUCGAAGCU